CCACCGAAGUAGUUCUGAGAGCCAGCGGAGUUGGGGAGGAGGAGCAAUCUGGGAGCAGGACUAGGGACCAGGAGGAGCUACACCCCGUGGUCUACUGCCUUGUCUCAUUCCAGGCACCUGAAACAUUACAACUGGGAAUAACUACCUACUCCAAAAGAACUAAAUGGAUCCCUGGAUGCCCUUCAAGUGUUAAUUUACCUAAUGUAAGUGAGCACUUUACUUCCACAUAAUGUUUUAUUUGCCUAGAAGCAUCACAGGAUAAGAGUCUAAAUAUUUCUAAUGUUAUAUGUUGAGUAUUUUAAGAUAACUAUUCCUGAUAUAAUCUCCAUAAGAGAAGCUUAAUUUUUUUACUGUCAAAACAAUAAAGUUUGUGAAAAUUACCAAAUUAGUUUUGGAUUUUAGUUCCAAAUUGGCUUGUAACCUUAUUAUAAAGUUUUUAUUUUUCCCUGUCAGCUCACUGGAGAUAAGACUAUCUACAAGGUUUCACCUCUCUUGAAAGAUCAUGAAAAUAAAUGUAAUGACUUGUAUAAGCAAAUAUUCUAGCAGUUCUCAGAAUGAAGAGAUUAUAAGCCACUUCUAAAGGUAGACAGAGAUAUACCCAGGACUAAUACAAGUUAUCAAUACUAAUCACUAAAAGUAAAUCUAAUAUCUUUCAAUAAACUUAGCUAUAGAUUCUCCAGUCAGUGCUUUACCUGCUCUUCUAAAUAUUAAUUAUAAUUACAUAAAAAUAAGGAUUAAAAGAAUUAUCAGUGUGCUA
rnacentral:lncRNA from 1 species